AUAAUUCUACAAUUUGAGAAUUAGUCAAAGGCAGCAAUUAUAGUCCAAAUUAAUUGUGAAAUCAACUAACACGUUUUUUUUGCUCCAGUUCUUCAAUCUGCUCCAAAAAUAAACCAUCCAUCAACCUUUAAUUGCUAUUAUUUUUUAAGAAUCAAUUACCUAUUUUACGUUCCCUCUCCCACGCUCAAUAACCGCUCCUCCUCUGCAAAUCUCUUCCAAAAUUAAACCACAAUCAACUCUCAAUUGUGAACCCAUUUUGAACGGUAUAUUAAUACCCAUACCCUAAUCCCUUUCCCUCACACAAAUUCGCAGUCACUCACUCUCACUUUGCACCUCAAAAUUUCCUCAAGCGGCGGAGGGAGCAGUAGGAAGAAGGAGCUCAUCUUUUCCCCAACCAAAUCCUAAUUUCACCACGAAAUUUGGAACCAAAUCCGAAAAUGGGGAAACCUGAAGCUUCAAUCUUCUGUCAAAGCUGAUUUGUUCAGCGAAGGUAUAAGACUCUCCUUUCUAUUAAUUCUCCAAACAUCAAGCAUUUCGCUUAUUGCGUCAAUCGAAACUCGAGAACUGAAUUAAAACAAUCAACUUAAUCAAAAUUUAAGAACUUAUCUUACGGGGCUAAUCGGGGCUGCCGGAACGGCGACGCCGAGCGACGAUGUUGGUGUGCGCGGGGCGGCGAAUUGGAGCCGACCAGCAGCUGCUCAAUAUGGACUACACCUGAACGGUGACGAAGCGGGCGAACCACGACGCGAUCCUGCUUGACAAAUUUGGGGAUCUUGUUUUGUCUUCUUGUAAGAGAAAUCGAGGGAGAGAUAGAGAGAGUUAAUUGGUGGGUGCUUCUGUAAGCCUCAAAUCAAGUGUUGCAAAUUUGAAAAAAAAACUGGGAUGUUCUUGGUUGAGAAUUUGCAGAAGAGAGAGAGGCGACGGGUUUUGGAAAGAGAUCUGUGCUCUCUUGUUUCUUUCUUAAGAAAAAUAUAUGUACCAUCCUUUUAACAUUAUUUUAAUCUAAUGUAUGUUUUUUUUUAAAUGGAACAGGUGGUAUUUACGUGUA